UACGUAGGGGGCAAGCGUUGUCCGGAAUUAUUGGGCGUAAAGAGCGCGUAGGCGGGAUGGCAAGUCGGUCGUGAAAUCCUUCGGCUCAACCGAAGAACGUCGAUCGAUACUGCUGUUCUUGAGGGUUGCAGAGGAGACUGGAAUUCCCGGUGUAGCGGUGAAAUGCGUAGAGAUCAUGAGGAAGACCAGUGGCGAAGGCGGGUCUCUGGACAGUUCCUGACACUGAGGGACGAAAGCUAGGGGAGCGAAUGGG
rnacentral:rRNA from 1 species